rnacentral:rRNA from 1 species
UGGGGAAUAUUGGGCAAUGGGCGAAAGCCUGACCCAGCAACGCCGCGUGAGGGAAGAAGGCCUUCGGGUUGUAAACCUCUGUCCUUGGUGACGAAAAAAACUGACGGUAGCCAAGGAGGAAGCCCCGGCUAACUACGUGCCAGCAGCCGCGGUAAUACGUAGGGGGCGAGCGUUGUCCGGAAUUACUGGGCGUAAAGGGUGCGUAGGCGGCCUUUUAAGUUGGAUGUGAAAUACCCGGGCUUAACUUGGGGGGUGCAUCUAAUACUGGAGGGCUAGAGUGCAGGAGAGGGAAGCGGAAUUCCUAGUGUAGCGGUGAAAUGCGUAGAUAUUAGGAGGAACACUAGUGGCGAAGGCGGCUUUCUGGACUGUAACUGACGCUGAGGCACGAAAGCGUGGGGAG